rnacentral:pre_miRNA from 13 species
CGCCCCCAUUGUUGCCCGGGGCCCUGGCGGGGAUAUCAUCGUAUACUGUAAGUUUGCUAUGAGACACUACAGUAUAGAUGAUGUACUAGCCUGGGUGCCCCAGCCCAGCAGGAGCCC